AUGGAGCAAUGGGCGUACUACCAUUGCCUCUUCCUGGCUCUCCUCCUCCCUCUCCUGCUGCUCAAGCUCAACAGCAAGCGUGGCGGCGUGCGUCUGCCACCCGGUCCGUGGCGGCUGCCGGUCAUCGGCAGCCUGCAGCACCUCGCCGGCAACCCGCUCGUGCACCGCGUCAUGGCCGACCUCGCGCGCCGGCUGGACGCGCCGCUCAUGUACCUCAAGCUCGGCGAGGUGCCCGUGGUGGUGGCCACGUCCCCGGAGGCCGCCCGCGAGAUCAUGCGGACGCACGACGUCGUCUUCGCGACGCGGCCGUGGAGCCCCACCGUCAAGAUCAUGAACGCCGAGGGGCAAGGCCUGAUAUUCGCGCGCUACGGUGCGUUGUGGCGCCAGCUCCGCAAGAUCUGCAUCCUGGAGCUGCUCAGCGCGCGCCGCGUGCAGUCGUUCCGCCAUAUCAGAGAGGACGAGGUCGGACGCCUCCUGGCCGCUGUUGCCGCGGUGCCGCCCGGGGAGCCCGUGAACGUGAGCGAGCGGAUCGCCGUGCUCAUCACCGACUCGGCGGUGCGCGCCAUGAUUGGGGACAGGUUUAAGAGGCGGGAGGAGUUCUUGCAGACUCUCGACGAAGGGGUCAAGCUCGUCGCCGGGUUCAACCUCGGCGACCUCUUCCCGUCGUCGCGCCUCGCCAGCUUCAUCAGCGGCACGGCGCGGCUGGCCGAGGAGAACCACCGCAAGAGCUUCGAGCUCAUGGAGUACGCGAUCCAGCAGCACGAGCAGCAGAGGGCCGCCGCCUCAGCGAACGAUGACGGAGGAGAGGACCUAGUGGACACGCUCUUGAGGAUACGCAAGGAAGGUGGCCUCGACGUGCCUCUUACCAUGGGCAUGAUCAAAGCAGUUAUACUGGAUCUAUUUGGUGCCGGGAGUGAGACUUCAGCUACCACACUUCAGUGGGCCAUGUCGGAGCUCAUGAGGUACCCAAACGUGAUGCGGAAAGCACAAGCUGAAGUACGCAAAAACCUCCAAGGAAAACAUAAGGUGACUGAGGAUGACUUGGCCAAUCUCAAGUACCUUAGACUCGUCAUCAAGGAGACAAUGAGGUUGCAUCCAGCCGCGCCAUUGCUUCUCCCUAGAGAGGCCAUGGAGCCUUGCAAAAUUCUCGGGUACGACAUACCCAAGGGCACCACGGUGUUGGUGAAUGCAUGGGCGAUCGGCAGGGAUCCUAAGCAUUGGGAGGAUCCUGAGGAGUUCAAGCCGGAGAGAUUCAAGUCCGGAAUGGUCGACUUCAAAGGCACAAACUUCGAGUACAUACCGUUCGGGGCAGGCAGGAGAAUGUGCCCUGGAAUGACAUUUGCGCAGGCCAGCAUGGAGAUUGUGCUCGCCUCACUUCUCUACCACUUUGACUGGGAGCUCCCAAAUGGGGUUAAGCCAGAUGGGCUAGACAUGACCGAGGAGAUGGGUCUCACCGUCCGGCGAAAGAACGACUUGUAUCUGCACGCCGUGGUCCAUGUACCCCUGAUUUGA
rnacentral:rRNA from 1 species